rnacentral:rRNA from 1 species
UACAGGAAGCAGCUUGCUGCUUCGCUGACGAGUGGCGGACGGGUGAGUAAUGUCUGGGAAACUGCCUGAUGGAGGGGGAUAACUACUGGAAACGGUAGCUAAUACCGCAUAACGUCGCAAGACCAAAGAGGGGGACCUUCGGGCCUCUUGCCAUCGGAUGUGCCCAGAUGGGAUUAGCUAGUAGGUGGGGUAACGGCUCACCUAGGCGACGAUCCCUAGCUGGUCUGAGAGGAUGACCAGCCACACUGGAACUGAGACACGGUCCAGACUCCUACGGGAGGCAGCAGUGGGGAAUAUUGCACAAUGGGCGCAAGCCUGAUGCAGCCAUGCCGCGUGUAUGAAGAAGGCCUUCGGGUUGUAAAGUACUUUCAGCGGGGAGGAAGGGAGUAAAGUUAAUACCUUUGCUCAUUGACGUUACCCGCAGAAGAAGCACCGGCUAACUCCGUGCCAGCAGCCGCGGUAAUACGGAGGGUGCAAGCGUUAAUCGGAAUUACUGGGCGUAAAGCGCACGCAGGCGGUUUGUUAAGUCAGAUGUGAAAUCCCCGGGCUCAACCUGGGAACUGCAUCUGAUACUGGCAAGCUUGAGUCUCGUAGAGGGGGGUAGAAUUCCAUGUGGUAGCG